CGUGUAGGCGGUUGGUCAAGUCGGGUGUGAAAGCCCGGGGCUCAGCCCCAGAAGUGCAUCCGAAACUAGCCAGCUAGAGCGCGAUAGAGGAGGGUGGAAUUCCUGGUGUAGCGGUGAAAUGCGUAGAUAUCAGGAGGAACACCGGCGGCGAAGGCGGCCCUCUGGAUCGUUGCUGACGCUGAGACGCGAAAGCGUGGGGAGCAAACAGGAUUAGAUACCCUGGUAGUCCGCGCCUUAAACGAUGGGUACUAGGUGUUCGGGGUGUUGACCCCCUGAGUGCCGCAGUUAACGCAUUAAGUACCCCGCCUGGGGACUACGGCCGCAAGGUUAAA
rnacentral:rRNA from 1 species